UAGUAAAUGAAACACUCAGGCUGGGCAAUGCUGCGCCAGGGCAACUCCGAAGAGCAGUGCGAGAUAUCCCAGUAAAUGGAUUUAUGAUCCCAAAAGGGUGGCCAAUCAUGGUAGUCACGACUGCUCUUCAUACAAAUCACGAUGUGUUUGAGAAUCCUCUUGAAUUUAACCCUUGGCGCUGGAAGGAUCUUGAUUCGGGCAAGAUAUCGAAGAACUUUAUGCCUUUUGGUGGAGGAGUGAGACAAUGUGUUGGUGCAGAAUACGCUCGAGC